AAGACCUUGGCCAGGGCAGUAAUAUAAAGUGGAGAAAGAGUUUUCCACUAUCGAACUCGAGUCGAAUAAAUCUUGACAUAUGACAGACGAUGGGGGUUGACGAGUUGUCCAUGACCUCCGUCCUGUAGGGAUCCACGAUAGUAGGACUGUAUCACACGUUAACUGCACCUAGAGGUUCAUCAUUCCAUUCUACUGGGUAGCCACUACAUGCUGCUAGGUGUCACUGGUGGAUGGUGAGACUCAUAAGGAUUAUCUCGAUGAUCGAUAAACCCUA
rnacentral:lncRNA from 1 species